ensembl:lncRNA
CAAACUGACAUCACUUCAAUGUAUAGCGGGGAAAAAAACUAUAAAAUCUAUUAUGGGAUAUUCUUCUGAGAACUUGUUCUGUCCGACAGUGUAAUUUUUGCACAAUGACGUUCCCUUAAGCCGGGUGCACACUGCGCUAUUUUUAAUAGUCCUUUGUAACUGUUGCUUGUCAGACUGUACGAGCACGAUCCCCACUGUAAGCCAUGUCACACUGUCGGAUCAGUUGUCAUUAAUGUCAGACUGUACGACAGUCAAGACAUGAAAAACGGACGCAGGCAAGAAAACUCGUAUGGAGUAGGAGAAGCAACACUACAGGACUGUGCCUCAAAUCUUCGGACACUGCCAGAAUUUAAUCGGAGGAAAAAUUUGAUCGCAAAGGCCAUUAAUCGGCUGACGGGGAACGCGUCAAACUAGUGAUCAAAGACUACUGAUUUUGGCCUAGGAUUAUAGGAAUCUUUUAGGAUCUCAAAAUUUCAGACAACCAAACCAUGGCCAAAAUUGCACAGUGUGAACCCGGCUUUAAUUGUUUCCACUGACCAACUUUACAGGGAAAAGGCUGAAAAAGGUGCACCAACUGUGGAAGACCUCCUACAUUGUUCCGGUGCCCAAGAAAGGUCAUCCCAGUACCUCAAAUAACUACAGACCUGUGGUGCUGACCUCACAUGUCAUGAAGACCUUUGAGAGACUGGUCCUGAGGCACCUGAACCUGAUCUUAAGUGACUCCCUUGAUCCACUGCAGUUUGCAUACCAGACCCAAAUCAGCGUGGAUGAGGCAAUCAUCUAUCUACUGCAUAGGGCUUACUCAUACCUAGAGAGGCCAGGAAGCACAUUGAGAAUCAUGUUUUACGAUUUUUUUUACUGCAUUUAACACCAUCCGGCCCCCGUUGCUUGCAGAAAAGCUCUGGAACAAAUGGGUAGAGCACGAUAUGGUGGCUUGGAUCAUGGACUAUCUCACCAGAAGACCACAGUAGGUCUGACUGCAGGGCAGCCUGUCAGAUGUAGUGAUGUGCAACACCGGCGCACCUCAAGGAACUGUGCUUUCACCUUUUCUUUUCACCAUAUACACCUCUGACUUUAACUCUGACUACAACUCUGGAACAUGCCACCUCCAGAGAUUCUCUGAUGACUCCUCCAUCGUGGGCUGCAUCAGUGAAGAGAAGGAGGAGGAGUACAGAGGCGUAGUGGAGAGCUUCCUCAGAUGGUCUGUGGAUAACCAUCUUCAGCUCAACAUCAGCAAGACCAAAGAACUGAUAGUGGACUUCUGCCGAAACAGAAAGCCCCCAACACCUAUUACCAUCCAGGGGGAGAAAAUAGAGAUGGUGGACUCGUACCAGUUCCUGGGAGUGCACAUCAACAGCAAGCUGGACUGGUCGGAAAACACCAAAGUUCUCUACCGGAAGGGACAGAGCAGACUGUUUCUUCUAAGGAGGUUCAGGUCGUUUGAUGUGUGCAGCAAGCGAUUGCAGAUGUUCUAUCAGUCUGUAGUAGCCUGUGCCCUGUUCUUUGCUGUGACAUGCUGGGGAGGUGGAGUUAAGGCUUGGAAGGCUGACAAACUCAACAAGUUGGUGAAGAAGUCCAGCUCUGUUGUUGGUCACAAACUGGACAAUCUGUAGACUCUGGUGGAGAAGAAAAUGAGAAAUAAAUUCAGGUCCAUUUUGGGAAACCCCUUUCAUCCACUGUAUGCUGAGCUGCAGCAGAUGGAGAGCACCUUCAGCCACAGGCUCAUCCCCCAAAGUGUAAGACAGAACGCUUCAGAUGUUCCUUUGUGCCGACAGCCAUUGGACUGUACAACAACUAGCCACCCCCUCCUUUGACCUUUCUUUUGACUACACUACAAAUACGCUAUUACAGUGUUGUAAUAUGGGUAUCAUACUGUAUUUUUUGCACUGCUCACACACCACAUCACUGCUUCAAAGCUACUGCUAUAUGUCUAUACUGGUUAUACUGUACAGCUGCAAUAUGUAUAUAGUUUUGUGUACACUGUACAUAUGCGAUAUGUACAUGAGCUAUUUGUAUAUUGGGACUGUACAUUGUUGCUUGAUGUAUAUACUGCUCAUAUGUAUGUGUGUGUGUGUGUGUGUGUGUGUGUGUGU